rnacentral:lncRNA from 1 species
AGUCUGUUGUCGCCGUCGUCAAGGGUAUUGAUUGCUUUCUCGACCUCUUUGAUCAUAAGAAGAAGAUUAAACCUGACCAUGAGCAUGAAUCCAACUUGACGAUGGUGAGGCAUUCUCAUGGUGUCACCAUAUACAGUGAAGAGAUGUGUUAGGAUUUGACGUUUGAAGAUUCGAUCCACAUUGAGCCUACAGUGAGGUUCGCAUCGAAAAACGAAGUCUAACGAGAU